rnacentral:rRNA from 1 species
GAGGCACCAGUGGGGAAUAUUGGGCAAUGGAGGAAACUCUGACCCAGCGACGCCGCGUGCGGGAUGAAGGCCUUCGGGUUGUAAACCGCUUUCAGUAGGGAAGAAGCGAAAGUGACGGUACCUACAGAAGAAGCACCGGCUAACUAUGUGCCAGCAGCCGCGGUAAUACAUAGGGUGCAAGCGUUGUCCGGAAUUAUUGGGCGUAAAGAGCUCGUAGGUGGUUCGUUACGUCGGAUGUGAAAAUCUGGGGCUCAACCCCAGACCUGCAUCCGAUACGGUCGAGCUAGAGUUUGGUAGGGGAGACUGGAAUUCCUGGUGUAGCGGUGGAAUGCGCAGAUAUCAGGAGGAACACCAAUGGCGAAGGCAGGUCUCUGGGCCAAUACUGACACUGAGGAGCGAAAGCGUGGGGAGCGAACAGGAUUAGAUACCC